AGAGCGGCCGCGGAGAGGAGGCUCCCGCUCCCGGGGGACACCAGUUUCCCAUGUGGGAGUGGAGCUGCGGCUGCUGCUCGGUCCUAUCCACGGCUGCUGUAGGGUGUGAUGGGCGUUUAUUAUUAUUAUUAUUAAUGGCAGCUCGUUCGCGCUGAGGUUAUAUUAAAGCCCCAUUGUGCGAGGCUCCGCACAAAGCGGUCGGAGACAGUCUGUACCCGGGAACGGGCAGUCAGAACAGAGAAACGCAGCAGAGAGGGUAGGCAGGAAGAAACGCCGCUGAAGGAGGAGAAACUUCUUCCUGAAAAUGUCAUGAAAACUGAUGUGCCCCUAUGAAAAAUGUGGAUUUUGAUGAUUCAGCAUUUUCCCAUAGAAGAUAAAACUCCUUUGUUCCUCUGACCAGCUCCCAGCAAAUGGCUCAAAAGCGUAUGUUUCAUGUUUCCUCCCAGGAACCUGUUCCUGAAGCUGCUGUGAAACUUCCUAGGUUGUGGCCCACUCGGGUGUUCUCUGAUUGCAUGAGCUUCAGUGGGACCUGGGUGCUGCCUGAUUUUGGGAAGAGUUCUCAGUACAAGUGGCUCCGCCCUGUCUCUGAGCUGAAGCUGUGGAAAGGAAGGAGCAAUGUAUCACAGGAUCCAAACUGGAGGCAUGAAAAGGGACAGCAGGCUUCCACUUCUGAAGGAUACUUCUGAAAAUACUUGAGAUUUGGGUAUCUGAAACGGAGAAUACCCUUACUGAGAUGUGAGAGCUGCAGGGACCUAACACCUUUGCAAGAGAUGCCUGUCUACACCAAGGACCAGGGAAUUGAGACACAGAGGACAGUGUUUAAGAUAUGAAGCUGGAUUUCUGGAACAGGAGGAGCAGGCAGAACAGAAGGAGGUUGGUACUGGGACAGAUGUGUUAGCAGGCCACAAGUACUUCCAUGUUCCCAGAUGUCAUAUCCAACUUCAUGCUGACCUCUGGCCCAGAGUGAGAAUGAGGACUCAAAGGAUAUUUGAUCAUUUCCCUUUUCUGUACGCAACUGCGAAGCCACCUUUCUUUUCAGGUGGAUCAAGCUUUUAUCCUUACUGCUAUUACCAUGCCUAACAUUCCCUUCAAGAAACAUUAAGGAAUUUCACCAUUUUUGUGGUGAAAUUCCUUAAUGAGUCUGAAAUUCAGAGAUGGCUGGAGCAAAAUAAUAAUGCUAGCCAUAAUAAUAAAUAACAGCCCCAUUUGCUUUAAUUUGCAUCUCACAAAACAACAACCCAGUCCAAAUUCUCAUCUGCUGUGGAGAUAAAGAGUGUGAUUUACUCGUCAGCAAUGGAGAAGAGACACACGACAAGACAGUAACCUCUGGCCAUAAACAAACUGGAGUGGCUUUGCCUUUUAACAGGCUCCCUUCUCGUCUCCUAUGGAGUGCUACUUUCUGCCUUAUGUAACCCUCUGGACAACUCCACUGACCUAUAUUGUUUUAAUAAAUUUGAGCAGUUUGAGCUAAAGACCCUUCAAUUUUCUGAUGCUGUUCCCACUUCACAGGGCUCCCUUUCUUGCUCUGCUCUGCAAGGUUCCAUAGCUAGUAUCCUGGGAGAAGCUAAAUAAACAGCUUCCAAGUUCCAACCCAUAUGUGUCAAACUUCCUUUUGAAUGUUAGCCUUGGAGGUGAGAAGGAAAAACUGAGUUGACUAGGAAAAUGUAUAAGCUUUCAGAAACAGUUUUUUAUUACCUUCCUUAUCACCCCUUUAAGGUCAUAAAGAUUAUGCCAAAGAAGCUAUUAAGUUUUCCAGGAUUGCAAAAUAUUUUAUCAAUGAUAGAGAUGAAGCAUGCCGUUCCGCUUUUCAAUUUUUUGCUUUAUAUUUCCUUUUAUGUUUGGGGAUUUGAUCUUAAUCUUCUGUCCGUACCUUUCUGUUUCCGUCCGGAUUGGAGGCAUGGUUAAUUGUUUCUUGUAGCCAGAAGCCUGCACUGAAUUGCAAACAGAAGACCUCUCAGGCAUUCAAAAAAAAAGAAAAAAAGAGUGAACCUGGAAACUAAAAAUGUGAACACCAUGAUUCCUUAACAGGCUGAGCUUCAGAUUUUUCUCUCUGUCAUGGCUCUUGAGAUGUAUAUAAAAUUUCUGAACAGCAAUGACUGACAGCAGUGUUCCAGCAGUGACAGCAAACUGCCUUCUCUACUCGGGUUAAUUUAGGAGUUGGAUAUAUUCUCCCACCUAAAAUCAUCUGUGAAAACUCGACUCCAGAACAUCUCUAGCAGCUAAAUACUGGAGUCUGGGCUGAAAGGGCUGCACACUAGUCUCCACCAGGUUACCCUAGGGAUGAAAUAGGGAUCAAAUGUCGUAUGAUGCUGUCUGAGAUUCUGUUCCUCACAUGCCACAGUGAGGAGCAGAUUAGUGUCCUGCUCAUAAUGCAUCCCCUCCAAAUCCCUCACUGAAGAAGGAUAUCCAGAGCUUUGGAGAAAUGCUGAAAAGACGCUCAUGAGAGGCCCAAUUCUUCAUACUGAACUGGAAAAUGUUACGAGUGGAUUGCAAAGCUCUACUGAAUAUCGAGUUAAUCCAAGAUUUACGUGCCCUAAGCCUCCAGAAAUUAGGCUGUGGUGGGCUUUAGUUAAAGUAGUGUUAGCUAACCUUAUAAGAAAACCUGUUUUCCUUCCCUGUACAGCCUUUCAGAUAGGCCUUGUUUUCCUGAAGGAACAGAUCCUCAGCUGGCAUAACACAGAUUCAUCUCCCUGAAGCCAGUGAAGCUGGAGGUUAGGAGCAUCUGACCCCAAAACAAUUCCUCUUAAUGGUGACAUGUUUGUUGCCACCAGGCAAGAUGACAGACCGAGUGCUGGUGAUGGAAGAGUAGUGGACAGGCUACUGGCUCAAAGAUUGUCCAUUUUUGUCUCCCAUGGCAUUUAGUACAAAGAGAGGCAGAAGCAGGAAGAUGAGACUCUUCAAUGAAGUUGGCAUGAAGAAGAGGCAAGUCUUGCUCAAGCUGCGUUAGAGUGGAAAAUCUUUUAUCAGGAAGUACCAAGUAUAAAUCACAAAGAUACUGCUUGGUUGAGACCAAUUCUGAAAGAAGACAGUAGCCAAUUAAUUAAUGCCAACUGACAAUAAAACAGAAGAGUAUCACAACCUUUUAGAACAGCAUGUGUCAGCCUUUUUCACAGUGUACCACAGGGAGGGGCUGCCCCUUUCCCACUUGAUUAGACUACUUUCCUAGGGUGGGCAAAGAGGCCAGGAGUGCAGGAUCUUCAGGGUGGUGUUUCAGGUGCCUUUCCAAUCCAAGCAGGCAUAUCAGCAUCAAUUUUGUGCUCUGUUCAUGUUGACUAGGGUCUUCCUCCAGUCUCACAACCAGUAUAGAAAGACUUCCUUUGUGAUUGUAACAAGAAAAACAGGCUGGGUGGAAGAGGAUAAAAAAACCCAAGUGGACAUGACUGCUCUGACAGCUGUCUGGGGAAUACUUGUAAUUCCCAGGUGGAAACUUUGUCUCUGAGGCAGCGAUUUGUGGUGCUGAAGCCACCCACAGUCUCCUAGUGGCAGCUUAAGGUAGGCUGGUCACUGUGUAGGAAAUGCAAGUUCCAUCCUGCAUCCAUUCUUAACAUCCGUUGUAGAUGACUUAUGAUAACAAUGGUGGACUUUUAAAAAAUUGAAGAAUUAUAAGUUCAAUAUAUUUCAUCUCUUUUGAAAUAGAGCUAUUUAAAUGUGGAACA